AACGAACGCUGGCGGCAGGCUUAACACAUACAAGUCGAACGCCCCGCAAGGGGAGUGGCAGACGGGUGAGUAACGCGUGGGAAUCUACCGUGCCCUACGGAACAACAGUUGGAAACGACUGCUAAUACCGUAUACGCCCUACGGGGGAAAGAUUUAUCGGGGUAUGAUGAGCCCGCGUUGGAUUAGCUAGUUGGUGGGGUAAAGGCCUACCAAGGCGACGAUCCAUAGCUGGUCUGAGAGGAUGAUCAGCCACAUUGGGACUGAGACACGGCCCAAACUCCUACGGGAGGCAGCAGUGGGGAACAUUGGACAAUGGGCGCAAGCCUGAUCCAGCCAUGCCGCGUGAGUGAUGAAGGUCUUAGGAUUGUAAAGCUCUUUCACCGACGAAGAUAAUGACGGUAGUCGGAGAAGAAGCCCCGGCUAACUUCGUGCCAGCCGCCGCAGUAAUAC
rnacentral:rRNA from 1 species